UCUUUCUGGCAGGGUAUAUGAGAUCGUCGCUGAUUGGCUGCACCUUGCUCAAGCCGAUCUUCGAUCGAUCGAUAUCCGGCCGCGGGACGGUCACACUCACAGGUCGGCAUGUUGGUGAACCUUUCCUGUUUAGCUUAGAUUUCACGUUAUCAUGGUUAUUCAUGCCAACAUGCAAGAGCUAGCUGCAAACAACUUCUCUAAUUAGUAGAAUGUGGACGGACAUUGCAUUCAUUCCCAUUCAGCCAUUGGACUGAACCGGUACCAAGACCGGAACUGUAACACAGUAAGGAUGGUCAAUAUGAAGCGAGCUUCAUUGAAUUCCUCCAAGAGCUCUGUACUCUGUUCUGAUCAUUUUGAAGAUGCUUGCUUUGACCUGGGCAGACGAUACGUCUUAAACAGGAUGCUGUCCCAACCAUAUUUGAUUUCCCGCCUCGUCUUCAGAAGAAUUCACCCAAACCAAGGUAUUUCCCAAAAGACUUUUCGAUUCAGCAAACAACCUCCCAGAUACUGCAAAGACACCAGUGCCAAAGUCUUCAGCACCUUAAUUUCUCGAAGACCACUCCUACUGAAUACCAGAAAGUCCAAGAGGGGUAAAGUGGAAGUCAACAACAAUAAUGGACUGUAUUAAAACUUGGAGAAGAGGCUGAAAACCACACAGAAGUCCUACCUUAUACAUUACUUGCUUUUAAGUUUGGACAAACAUUGAUUUGCACAACUUUACAACAAAAAAUUUACGCUGUGUGGAUUCUGAUUAUUUAAAAUAGCUCAAUGAAAACGUUUAUCACUGGGCAUGUAACAAAAAUGAAUUCAUUGAAUUUGAAGAUGUCUUACAGUAUAUUCAUUCUGAUUUGAAUGUCAGAAGAGAAAAAAGUUUGUGAAAAGUAGGAAUGACGGCAAGCUGACAGAAGAAUAGAAUACAUGUAGGAUAGAACAAGGCCACAGUUAUAAAUGAGCUGUUGGAUAGAGACAAAAAGAUGAAUUAAGAAUGGGGGUGAUAGAGAAAUAGAGACAGGAAUUUGGGAGCCUGUGAUGAAUGCCUGAGAAAGUAAAAAUUACCAUAUUUUAUUUUUUUAAGGAUUUGAACAGUCAGGAAGAAUGUGGUCUUUUUUCUGUUGUUAUUUCUCAAAAUACUGGUAUGUUUUGUGUACAGAAAGGGGUAUAAUCCUUUGCAAUAAUCACUCUCACAGAAAAUAAUAACUAAUCAAAAGAAAAGUCAAAUAUUUCACUGAUUUACAAUUGUUCGGUCACUCUCAUAUCUAAAGUUACCCCCCCCCCCAUCAUUUCAAGGUAUUGGAGAGAGAGGUUGGGCAGGACAUGGCUGUCAGCAGAAAAAAAAUGCAGGGUGGGGCAAAACAAUUUUGGGAUAUGUGCGAGGGAGCGAAUGCGACAGAGCAGAAUUUUGUGGGGGGGGGAUAUAUGCGAGAGAGCAAAAUGACAGAAGGAAAAUGCAGGGGCCAAGAGAUUUGAGGAAUAUGUAAGAGGGAGCGAAGUGACCAAGCAGAAGAAAUGUAGAGGACAACAAAUUGUUGGGUAUGUGAGGGAGCAAAGCAACCAAUUAAAAAAGGAGGUUAGUCAAAACGUUCUUGAAUAUGAGUAAGGAAGCAACUUGUUCACUUCCGAGCAGUAGGACUCGUUUUAAAAUAGCUUAGGAAAUAUGUGUUUCCUAAGCAUGGUAAACACAUAUUGUAGGCCUAUAGUACAAUUUAGGUGCUCUAAGAGUUAAAUUCUGAAUGAGCUGCAUUUGCUGGUAAAUCAUGCGCAGAGGAUCUUUGUCUUUUAUCCAUUUCUACACUUUUCUUUAGAUUUCAGUUUUAAGGCGGGAAGGAUCCCACCCUCCUGUGGAUGCUAAUAUUUUGACUGACCCUGGGUAAAUAGAAUAAUUACAAAAACAAAAAUGAUGUUUUAAUAUGAGAUUUUUUAAUGCCCCUUGAAAGUCCACCAUCUUUCUCACUCUCUCCAUCUUUGUUUUUAUUCAUUUUAACUUUCCAAUUCUUUCUCUCUUGAUAUCUAUAAAGUUCAGGUUCACCCUUUUAACUUGCACUAUUCCAAGCCCCCAACCAAUUGGCAUCCACAGGAAUGGGGGAGUGGGGCUUCCCCCUAGAAAAUAAAGUCAAACAAAAGAAAAAUGUGGAAAAUAGAAAUGGAUAAAGACAAAUAAUCCUCUACGCAUGUCUUACCUACCAAUAGUUCAUUCACAAUUUAAUACCUAAAUUCUACUGAGUUUACCAUACUUAGAAAAUGCAUAUUUCCUAUGCCAUUUUUAAACAAGUCCCUAUCGCUGGGAGUGAACGUGUUGCUCACCAGCACGAAUUCGAAAAUAUUUUGAUUGACCUGGGGCCCGUUUCAUAAAACAUUUGCCGCAGCGGCAACUCCCAUUUUCUGCGGCAAAUCUCAAAACAGCGGCAAAUGACAAUUUCUGCGGCAAUAUUUGAUGCAGCUAUUUGAGCUGCGUCAAAUAUUUGCCGCAGAUACUUUCAGGGGCAAAUGACAAUUUCUGCGACAAUAUUUGAUCUAUUUGAGUUGCGUCAAAUAUUGCAGCAGAAACGG
rnacentral:misc_RNA from 1 species